GGGGCCAUCCCGGCUUACCAACCCGAUGCAAACUGCGAAUACCGGAGAAUGUUAUCACGGGAGACACACGGCGGGUGCUAACGUCCGUCGUGAAGAGGGAAACAACCCAGACCGCCAGCUAAGGUCCCAAAGUCAUGGUUAAGUGGGAAACGAUGUGGGAAGGCCCAGACAGCCAGGAUGUUGGCUUAGAAGCAGCCAUCAUUUAAAGAAAGCGUAAUAGCUCACUGGUCGAGUCGGCCUGCGCGGAAGAUGUAACGGGGCUAAACCAUGCACCGAAGCUGCGGCAGCGAACGUAUCACUUAAAGCGAUUCAGCGGGUUACGAUUGACGGAGCGAAGCGACGUCAAAGCGUAUACAAAGUCGAGUCGGUUUAAGGAUACGUUCGUUGGGUAGGGGAGCGUUCUGUAAGCCCGUGAAGGUGGCCUGUGAGGGUUGCUGGAGGUAUCAGAAGUGCGAAUGCUGACAUAAGUAACGAUAAAGCGGGUGAAAAGCCCGCUCGCCGGAAGACCAAGGGUUCCUGUCCAACGUUAAUCGGGGCAGGGUGAGUCGACCCCUAAGGCGAGGCCGAAAGGCGUAGUCGAUGGGAAACGGGUUAAUAUUCCCGUACUUGGUGUUACUGCGAAGGGGGGACGGAGAAGGCUAUGUUGGCCGGGCGACGGUUGUCCCGGUUUAAGCGUGUAGGUGUGUGUUCCAGGUAAAUCCGGUUCACUUUAACACUGAGGCGUGAUGACGAGGCACUACGGUGCUGAAGCAACAAAUGCCCUGCUUCCAGGAAAAGCCUCUAAGCAUCAGGUAACAUCAAAUCGUACCCCAAACCGACACAGGUGGUCAGGUAGAGAAUACCAAGGCGCUUGAGAGAACUCGGGUGAAGGAACUAGGCAAAAUGGUGCCGUAACUUCGGGAGAAGGCACGCUGACACGUAGGUGAAGUGAUUUACUCACGGAGCUGAAGUCAGUCGAAGAUACCAGCUGGCUGCAACUGUUUAUUAAAAACACAGCACUGUGCAAACACGAAAGUGGACGUAUACGGUGUGACGCCUGCCCGGUGCCGGAAGGUUAAUUGAUGGGGUCAGCGUAAGCGAAGCUCCUGAUCGAAGCCCCGGUAAACGGCGGCCGUAACUAUAACGGUCCUAAGGUAGCGAAAUUCCUUGUCGGGUAAGUUCCGACCUGCACGAAUGGCGUAAUGAUGGCCAGGCUGUCUCCACCCGAGACUCAGUGAAAUUGAACUCGCUGUGAAGAUG
rnacentral:rRNA from 1 species